UGCCUAAGAAUGCAGUCGAACGGACAGUAGCAUACUGUUAGUGGCGAACGGUCGCGUAACACGUGGGCAACCUGCCCUGAAGCGGGGGACAACAACUCGAAAGAGUUGCUAAUACCGCAUGUGAAUUGCUAUGGCAUCAUAGCGUAUUCAAAGCCGCAAGGCACUUCAGGAUGGGCCCGCGGCCUAUCAGCUAGUUGGUGAGGUAACGGCCCACCAAGGCUUCGACGGGUAGCUGGUCUGAGAGGACGAUCAGCCGGAUUGGGACUGAGAUACGGCCCAGACUCCUACGGGGGGCAGCAAUUAGGAAUCUUGCGCAAUGGGCGAAAGCCUGACGCAGCGACGUCGCGUGAAGGAUGAAAUCUUUCGGGAUGUAAACUUCUUUUACCAGGGAAGAAUAAUGACGGUACCUGGUGAAUAAGCCCCGGCUAACUACGUGCCAGCAGCCGCGGUAAUACGUAGGGGGCGAGCGUUGUCCGAAGUUACUGGGCGUAAAGAGCGCGUAGGCGGGUCCUUAAGUGAGGGGUGAAAGUCCGAGGCUCAACCUCGGAACUGCCUUUCAUACUGGGAACCUUGAGUGCGGGAGA
rnacentral:rRNA from 1 species